AAUAGGAAAUCAAUGGUAUCUUUGAUUCAAAAACUUCGGCAUUACGUUACGUACCAAUAUUGUCUAGUGCAAGAUUCCUGCUAUCUAUAAAUUUGCUUCAUUUGCAGUGAAAAAAUAAUAUAACCUAGCCAUAUAAUUUCUUACAUAAAAUUAAGCUUAGAAUCAUGGCAGUCAUCAACAACGCCAGAUCUUUUCUGGUGACCCUCCUCGUCUUCGCCAUGGUGUUCUCUCCGAUGCAGCUGCCAUGCGAAGCAGCUCGAGUCCAAGGUGUCGGUCGAGUAUUACUGCAAGGAGGGCCGAUUUGCCCAGCUUGUGUGUGCUGUGCGCCUGCUCCACCAAACGGAUGUUGCCCUUGCUUUUGCCCUCCUGCUGAAUCUCCUGAACCAUAGCUCACUCAAGCAGAGGAUCUCCAUUUUCAAAUAAUAUAAGCUUCCAAUAUGUUUUUGGCGAGCUGAUAUGAAUAAAACUAUCACCAUUUAUAUUGUUAUUAUUAUUAUUUUUUUUUAAUAUGGAUUCAUCCUCCUGAAUCCAUAUCUUGUUUUCCAUUAUAAUGUAUUCAAGUGGUUGUUGCACUAUACUUUGGAAUAAAUUAAAAUUUUAAUAA